UAUGACUUGGGGCAAUAGAGACUAUUAGUGU
rnacentral:piRNA from 1 species